GUGCCAGCAGCCGCGGUAAUACGUACCGUACGAACGUUAUUCGGAAUCACUGGGCUUAAAGAGUCCGUAGGCGGCCUUAAAGGUGAGGUGUGAAAUCCCACGGCUUAACCGUGGAACUGCGCUUCAAACCAUAAGGCUAGAGGGAGAUAGAGGAAAGCGGAACUGAUGGUGGAGCGGUGAAAUGCGUUGAUAUCAUCAGGAACACCGGUGGCGAAAGCGGCUUUCUGGGUCUCUUCUGACGCUGAGGGACGAAAGCUAGGGGAGCGAACGGGAUUAGAUACCCGGGUAGUCC
rnacentral:rRNA from 1 species